rnacentral:rRNA from 1 species
UACGUAGGCAGCAAGCGUUGUUCGGAGUUACUGGGCGUAAAGAGUGCGUAGGCGGUCCUGUAAGUUUGGUGUGAAAUCUCCCGGCUCAACUGGGAGGGUGCGCCGAAGACUGCAGGGCUUGAGUAUGGGAGAGGUAAGCGGAAUUCCUGGUGUAGCGGUGAAAUGCGUAGAUAUCAGGAGGAACACCGGUGGCGAAGGCGGUUCUCUGGGCCUUACCUGACACUGAGGAGCGAAAGCGUGGGGAGCGAACAGG